rnacentral:rRNA from 1 species
UACGGAGGGUGCAAGCGUUGUUCGGAAUCACUGGGCGUAAAGCGCGUGUAGGCGGCCUCGUAAGUCUGGUGUGAAAGCCCGGGGCUUACCCCCGGAAGUGCACUGGAAACUGCAAGGCUUGAGUACCGGAGAGGAGGGUGGAAUUCCUGGUGUAGCGGUGAAAUGCGUAGAUAUCAGGAGGAACACCGGUGGCGAAGGCGGCCCUCUGGACGGAUACUGACGCUGAGACGCGAAAGCGUGGGGAGCGAACAGG